UACAGAGGGUGCGAGCGUUGUCCGGAAUCACUGGGCGUAAAGGGCGCGUAGGCGGCCUGAUAAGUAGGGGGUGAAAUCCUGUGGCUUAACUGCAGGGCUGCCUCCUAGACUGUUAGGCUCGAGCACGGUAGAGGCAGAUGGAAUUCCCGGUGUAGCGGUGGAAUGCGUAGAGAUCGGGAAGAACAUCGGUGGCGAAGGCGGUCUGCUGGGCCGUUGCUGACGCUGAGGCGCGACAGCGUGGGGGAGCAAAC
rnacentral:rRNA from 1 species